rnacentral:rRNA from 1 species
UGGGAACAUACCCUUCGGUUCGGAAUAACUCAGGGAAACUUGGGCUAAUACCGGAUAGCCUCUCGAGCUUUCGAGCUCGUGAGAAAAGGUAGCUUCGGCCUCCGAUCGAGGAUGAGCCCGCGGCGGAUUAGCUUGUUGGUGGGUAAUGGCCUACCAAGGCGACGAUCCGUAGCUGGUC